UGAAGACCUUUAGCAGAAAAUUAUACUUUAUUAACAUCUAUUGGUAAAGUUAUCUAAGAUGUACCAUCUCAUCCUUCACUCCAUAAGAAAAGAGAAGGACAGAAUUAAACAUGGGGACAGAUGAAGAAGUAAAGAAGAUGAAAAUGAGGAAGAUAAAAAACAAACUGAAGACACAAUGUGAACCCUGGGAAUUCAAGGCUGAAUAGUACGAAGUCCUUUCCUCACAGAGUUCAGGACCCAGGAGUGGAGGCCAGAUAAGGGUAAGCUGAACAGGUGCAUCCAUUGCUCCUCCAGAAUUUCUCUGUAGGUUGUGAUCACAUUUUAGAGUUUAUUUUCUGUUUUUCCAUAUCAAGUUCUUUUUCUUUCAGUUUUUUUUAGAGGGUCAGGUGAAACUUAACAUUUGUCUUUUUCCAGUCUUACUCUUUUUCUUUAUUAAAAAUUGUAUGUGCUUAUAGUGUACAACAUGUUGUUUUAAUAUAUGUAUACAUUGUGGAAUGGCGAAAUCAAGCUAUUUACAUACGCAUUACAUCACACACACUUUUUUUAUAGUGAGAAUACUUAAAAUCUGUCAUAGCAUUUUUCAGAUAUACAAUAUGUUGUUUUUAACUGUAGUCACCGUGUUAUACAAUAGAGAUCUGGAAUUUAUUCCUUCUGUCUACCUGAAAUUUUGUAUCCUUUGACAAACAUCUCCUCAAUUGCUCCACUCCUCAGCUUCUGGUAACAAGCAUUUUACUGUUUCUAUGAGUUUGACUUUUUUUUAGAUUUCACAUAUAAGCGAGAUCAUGUGGUCUUUGUCUUUCUGUGACAGGCUUACUUCAUCUAACACAUUGUCUUCCAGGUUUAUCUGUGUUGUCACAAACGACAGAAUUUCCUUCUUUUUGAAAAACCAAAUAGUAUUACAUUGUCUCUAUAAAAAAAUACAAAAAAU